CCUACGGGGGGCAGCAGUGAGGAAUAUUGGUCAAUGGGCGGAAGCCUGAACCAGCCAAGUCGCGUGCGGGAUGAAGGCCCUACGGGUCGUAAACCGCUUUUGCACGGGGAUAACACCCUGCACUUGUGGACGUCUGCAUGUACCGUGCGAAUAAGGGCCGGCUAAUUCCGUGCCAGCAGCCGCGGUAAUACGGAAGGCCCGAGCGUUAUCCGGAUUCAUUGGGGUUAAAGGGAGCGUAGGCGGGCGUUCAAGUCAGCUGGAAAAUCGCGCGGCCAAACCGCGCCCCGCAGUUGAAACUGGAAGCCUGGAGUACAGAAGAGGCAGGCGGAAUUCGUGGUGUAGCGGUGAAAUGCAUAGAUAUCACGAGGAACCCCGAUUGCGAAGGCAGCCUGCCGGGGUGCGACUGACGUUGAGGCUCGAAGGUGCGGGUAUCAAACAGGAUUAGAUACCCUUGUAGUC
rnacentral:rRNA from 1 species